UAACGCCCUGAAUAAUUUAUUUUUGUUUCUGUAAAUAUCUAACAUAAAUAUGUAUUUGUUUCAGUGGUUAAAUGUUUUGAGUGUGUGUAUGAAGUCUUAAGUUCAAGUCUCAUAUUUGUAAAUUUUUUUAUUUUUCUAAUCCUAGCCUUAUCCUUGGUGGGUUGGGUUAUAUUUAUCUUUAUAAACUCAUAUUAAAAUGAGCUUGCUGGUUUGAGUGGUAAGAAGUUAGUGUGUAGGACGUCUUAUGUUUGAAUCAUUGUGAGAGCGAGGUGCUAUAUUUUUUGUUUCGGUUGGCUGAGAGAAUUUGAGUGGUCUUGAAAGUCUGAGUUGGUUUGGGUUGUUAGUGGAUGUAAUGGGAUUGUAAUCAAAGUGGUUUUUAUUUUAUUUUUAUUUUUUUUCAAAAUUCCUCUCUCUUUUCAGGAAAAACUGACGUCAAUUUUGUUUUGCCUUUAUCUUCUCUUUCGUUCUUCUUUUCU
rnacentral:lncRNA from 1 species